GACAAAACCCGGAGGAAGGUGGGGAUGACGUCAAGUCAUCAUGGCCCUUACGGCCUGGGCUACACACGUGCUACAAUGGUCGGUACAAAGGGUUGCCAAGCCGCGAGGUGGAGCUAAUCCCAUAAAACCGAUCGUAGUCCGGAUCGCAGUCUGCAACUCGACUGCGUGAAGUCGGAAUCGCUAGUAAUCGUGAAUCAGAAUGUCACGGUGAAUACGUUCCCGGGCCUU
rnacentral:rRNA from 1 species